AUUUUACCCUUCAAUGAAUGUCAUUUUUGUGACUUUCUUCUUCUAAUGCUCUUUUUGAGACAUAAACUUCAAAAUGUGCUAUUAUUGACAAUUGCCCUAUAAGUUAACUUGGCCUCUAUUAAUAUCUCUUUUUGUUUUGUUUUUCUCCUCCAUCUCUCUAGCUUUCUACCUUCCGAUUAUGUCUUUGGUGCGGCUCCGGUGGCUUCCUUAAAACAUCAGAACCGAGAUAUAACAAGAAAGGAUGUCUACGACAAGACCACCACGUCUUGACUCAUCCAUUUAUGAAUAUUGGAAGGUAUGUUUGCAAGAUUUUAUCAUCGAUCGGUCUUGAUGAGAAUUGUUGAAAUUCUGUUGAGGUUGUUUGGCAUCAUCCGGUGAUAAUUGAUGAUAAGAAAGUUGAAGUACUUAAGCUAAGAGAUCAAUGGAGCACAUCAGAGAAUAAAACAUCAAGUAGCAAUUAUAAGGCCAAAACUGCAAUUUAUAAUGCUAUUGAUGUAAGCUAUUUUAGUGUAUUUCUCAAUGUGCAUAAGCUCAGAAGAUAUUGGAGAACAUGUUUGAAAGUACUACAAAUGUCAAACGAGUUAAGUUAGAUAUGAUAAUAUCUAAAUUAGAUAAUC